rnacentral:lncRNA from 1 species
UCAUCACAACUCACAAGACAAAAAGCAAGUUCACAUCAAAAUGGGAUGGACCAUACAUAAUACAAGAGGUCUACACCAACGGCGCCUACUUAAUCAUGGCAGAAGACGACUUGAAGAUCGGCCUCAUCAAUGGCAGAUUCUUCCCCCUAAAACAAACACAUCAUGCUUCUGGCCUGCAAGAGCAUAAACUGUGUACAACAAAACAAAAAAAGAAAAAGAAACCAAUCACUCAUUUGAACUGCGUCAUGACUUGAUCCCUCAUUAACCGAGGGUACGUAGGCAACUUGAAACUUCCAAACUUCAAUACAGUCACAUCACCAACAAAAGCACAAACACUUCGAAGAAUAAAAGACAAAUUUAAAAUAUGAAUACUUUAUUUCUUUAAAGGAAUGAUUUGGUUACAAAGCCGUAUUACAAAGGUAAGCAUCACACCAACGUCACCACAGAGGAAAGUUAUGACCGAAAGGCAUUACACAGCAUAAACUCAUUGCAAUCUUUUGCACAACCCCACACGGUAAAAGUGACGCACUGGA